AACAAAGGGGAUUUCCCCUCAAACCCUAAAGUUCACAAAAAUCCAUCAAUUGAAGGUGCAAAUCGAGUCCGAAUUGAAAUCUGAAUAUAGAUUUGUGAUCACCUUGACUAAGGGAUCGUAAGGCAACACGAGUGAGGCGUCGGGAAGUCAAGCCGGUGCGGACGCUCGCCAAAAGGGAAAGCUCUAAGCUUUCAAGUAAGUCAAUCAAGCGGAUGGUGAUCAACACAAGACUUAUGAACCGAACACAC